rnacentral:rRNA from 1 species
GAUGAACGCUAGCUACAGGCUUAACACAUGCAAGUCGCGGGGCAGCAUGGGGGUUGCUUGCAACUCCCGAUGGCGACCGGCGCACGGGUGAGUAACGCGUAUCCAACCUGCCCUUCACCACGGGAUAACCCGGCGAAAGUCGGACUAAUACCGUAUGUUGUCCAUUGACGGCAUCCGAUUUGGACGAAAGGCUUUGCGGUGAAGGAUGGGGAUGCGUCCGAUUAGCCAGACGGCGGGGUAACGGCCCACCGUGGCUACGAUCGGUAGGGGUUCUGAGAGGAAGGUCCCCCACACUGGAACUGAGACACGGUCCAGACUCCUACGGGAGGCAGCAGUGAGGAAUAUUGGUCAAUGGGCGUAAGCCUGAACAGCCAAGUAGCGUGCAGGAUGACGGCCCUAUGGGUUGUAAACUGCUUUUAUGCGGGGAUAAAGUGGCCCACGUGUGGGCUUUUGCAGGUACCGCAUGAAUAAGGACCGGCUAAUUCCGUG